AGAAUCAACGCUGGCGGCGUGCCUAACACAUGCAAGUCGAACGCGAAAGUCCCGCAAGGGAUAAGUAGAGUGGCAAACGGGUGAGUAACACGUGGGUGACCUGCCUUCGAGCGGGGGAUAACGGUCCCGAAAGGGACGCUAAUACCGCAUGACAUCCUGCCUUUGAAGAGGCGGUGAUCAAAGCCGGGGACCGUAAGGCCUGGCACUUGAAGAGGGGCCCGCGCCUGAUUAGCUAGUUGGUGGGUAAUGGCUCACCAAGGCAACGAUCAGUA
rnacentral:rRNA from 1 species